rnacentral:piRNA from 1 species
UCCUCCAUGAAGCCUGGUUUAGGAUAACAC